rnacentral:lncRNA from 1 species
AUCCUGUGGCCCAGUAGCAGCUAUUAAUACCACCCUCGUCCCAGCUUCUAUUUUAGGGUAGGGGCUGUUGGGGUAGGGGCAAGCAGCAGGGAGCAAGGCAGGGAUUGGGGGCACAGAGACACAGACACAGAACACUGGGUCUGGACUCACUUCCGUGUGAUAAGGCAAUUAUUCAACCUGGACUAUAUUCAGAAGGUUAAUUAAUACAGUUUUGGAUGUAUAUUUUGUUUGAUCCUAUGACACUGGAUAACCUUUUCCAUCAUUUGUUGUUGACACGUCUUGGGAACGUAUUGACAGCAGCUUUCCUUUCUUGAGGAGACGCACACGGAGAUGUACUGUACGUGAAUUCUCCUCAGAUACACAUACUAUACGUGUAUCUUUCUCCCCUAUUUAUGUUAACAGAAGGGAUUAUGGCGAAACAACCUCCAUCCCCUACCACUCCAGUAUUUUUUACCCGGAUCAGUGAUCGGGACCUGACUGAGAUCGAGCUACAUUCCGUGGAGUCCAUCAACGACCUGCACCGCACCCAUCCAGAGCACAACCACAAAGGCAGCAGACGACCUCCCCUUCCUCCUGCUCCCUCCACCAAUGGGAACCUCCAUCUCCGGGACAGACCAGUUGUCUAUCAGACAGGGCAUCCAAUGAGAAGCCGAUGGCAGAGAAUGCUCCGAGACCUGUUGAUGCCCACCUCGUUUCGAUACACCAUGGGGUGUGUAGUGACAUCACUGACGCUGUUGACGCUAUUUCUUAUCUUCUAUCUCUUAGUGCAGCAGGGCAGCACUCUCCGGUCCCUAACGGAAGCAGUGAGGGAGAGACAGGCUGUGGCCCUAGAGGUCUCCCAGCUCAUCCAGGAGCUGCAGGCGCUGCGCCACAACCUCACAGCCAUCACGGGAGGAUCCUGA